GAGAGAGAGAGAGAGAGAGAGCAUCUCUCCUGCAGGCUCUCUGGCUGUCAGAGCGGCAGCAGCGCGGUGGAACAGGCACAGCGCCCCGCGUCAGGGAGGGAAUAGUCAACGUUUCGAGCUGCACCUGACCCUGACUCCUGCAGAAACCUCCCUCCUCGCUUGUCCGCUCCAGGCCCCUCUCCAUCCCAUCGGCCCGACCUGUGCUCCCUUCCAGCACCGAGCCAUGAACUUCCUGCGGCGCCGCCUGUCUGACAGCAGCUUCAUCGCCAACCUGCCCAAUGGCUACAUGACGGACCUGCAGCGGCCGGACCCCCCACCGCCCCCUCCUCCGACGGCCGCCCAAGCCACUCAGGCCACCCAGGGCGCCCAGGCUGCCCAAGCCGCCGCCCCGGCCCCCACUGUCUCCCCGGCGCCGGAAAAGAGGCCCCAGCCGGCCCAAUCCACUGGAAGCGGCUUCUUCAGCUCCAUCACCAACGUGGUAAAGCAGACAGCCGCCUCCGCCGGCCUGGUGGAGCAGACCCCGGUCUCCGGCCCCAAGAAGUUCAAGGUCCUCCUGGUGAUCGACGACCCUCAGCAUGACUGGACCAAAGUGUUCAGGGGGAGGAAGGUGCAGGGAGACCACGACAUCAAAGUGGAGCAGGCCGAGUUCUCGGAGAUCAACCUCGUGGCUCACGCCAACGGUACCUGCAACGUGGACAUGCAAGUCGUCCGUAACGGAACGAAGGUGGUCAGGUCAUUCAAGCCCGACUUCGUUCUCGUCCGCCAGCACGCCUACAGCAUGGCCCAGAACGAGGACUUCCGCAACAUCAUCAUCGGCCUGCAGUACGCCGGAGUGCCCAGCAUCAACUCGCUGGAGUCCAUCUACAACCUGUGCGACAAGCCGUGGGCGUUCGCCCAGCUGAUCAGCACCUACAAGAGGCUCGGCCCAGAGAAGUUCCCUCUGAUCGAACAGACCUUCUACCCCAACUAUAAGGACAUGAUCACCAUGCCAACGUUUCCUGUUGUUGUGAAAAUCGGACACGCUCACUCCGGCAUGGGAAAGGUGAAAGUGGACAACCACAGUGACUUCCAGGACAUCGCCAGCGUGGUGGCCAUCACCCAGACCUACACCACCACGGAGCCCUUCAUUGACUCCAAGUACGACAUCAGAAUCCAGAAGAUUGGCAACAACUACAAAGCCUACAUGAGGACCUCCAUUUCUGGUAACUGGAAGACCAAUACUGGAUCCGCCAUGCUGGAACAAGUGGCCAUGACAGACAAGUACAAGCUGUGGGUGGACACCUGCUCAGAGAUCUUUGGAGGCCUGGACAUCUGUGCCGUGAAAGCCAUCCACGGCAAGGAUGGCAAGGACUACAUCACCGAGGUGGUCGGCUCGUCCAUGCUGCUCAUCGGGGAGCACCAGGCCGAGGACCGGCAGCUCAUCUGCGACAUGGUGGUGGCCAAGAUGAACCAGGCUGUUCCGCGCAGCGCCGGCCGACCCCCCCAGAGGCCCACCACUGUGCAACCUCCCCAGAGCGCAGCCCUGAAGGACGGCCCGACGGACGGCAGCAAGAUCCCGGCACAGCGUCCGCCGCCGCAAGGUUGUUUACAGUACAUCCUCGACUGUAAUGGCGUUGCAGUUGGACCAAAACAAGUCCAGGCGAACUAAGGCCGAGCUGCGUAAAGCGGGAGACGCCCGUUCGCCACAUAGGGGGUUUAGUCCUGCAGGAAGAGAGAUAUAAACGGAGGAAAAGAGGGGGGUGGGAGUAGCGUGCGCCCCCGGGCGCUGGUUCGAGGCGGCCUGGACUCUGUUUUUCUCUAUGCAGUGUCAACAUGUACUGUCCACUUGUUCCCCGUUGAUGUGUCCGCUUGUAUUGGCUGCCUUUGUUCUACUGUAAAUCUCGUGGUUUUUCUUCAGGACUGUCGUCGAUGGUGUAAAAGAACAGAUUGUGCCUAAACCGAGUCCAGUGCUGCUGUGUUCUCACGUGGUUUUAUUAUUAUUUCUCUCCCCCCCCCCCCCCCCUUAUUAUUUACAUGUUAUAGAUAUUGCGUACAUCUAUUGGUUGUUUUGGAUGAAUCUCGUCCCCCCCCCCCUUGAAGUGACAGUUGUUAAUAUUUUGUGGUGAUCAGUAGUUUGACAGCUCUCACAAGUGAGUGCGUGUGUGUGUGUGUGUGUGUGUGUGUGUGUGUGUGUGUGUGUGUGUGUGUGUGUGUGUGUGUGUGUGUGUGUGUGUGAGAGAGAGAGACAGAGAGAGCCUGUGCACAUCGCUGUGUAUCAGUGGUCAUUAUUUUCUCUAUUCAGAUAUAUACUUCUAUAUUUCCUUGCAUGAGUGAUUCAAAGACUGGUUUUAAAAAAAAAAAAAAAAAAAAUUGUAUUUGACUUUGUGUUUACAUGUUGGGUAAACAAGGAAUGUAUAUUGGUGGAAAUUGCUUUAUUAUAUCCAAAAAUGUUUCAUCUGUACUUUUGGAGCAUGGAAAUGUUUUCCUUGUUUUUGGUACAACGUUACCAAAUUAUUUUUAAAAGAGGAUGUGAAACGAAAUCAGCGAGACGAUUCCAUGACGUUUCAGCAAUACAGCCCGAAAAAAAAACUGAGUGCAGUUCUAGAAACUUCUGUUUUUUUUUUUUGUUUGUUUGUUUUUUUUUUUUUUAUAGCCACCGUCGCUCUUAUUUUUGACAUCGAUGCUCUAGCCUUCACACGUGUUUGUGCCGCUCCAGCCGUCCACGCAGGACUAUUAGUGUCGAGACAGGCGGCGAGGAGGUGCAACGACGGCCUCCAGUAACCGCUCAUCCGUUUUGAGCUCCACCGGCGGUGGUUAGACAGAGAAACACUGUGGACGUGAAGACGGGAGACAGGAGACAGGAGUCUGAACGUCAGUGAAACACAAAAAAGCUUUAACAAGGAUGCGGACGACCUUUCUUUCUAUGCACUCGCCAACAGCCGUGGGUGUCCUCCGGUGAAAGUCCCUCCGUGCGUCGAACCCUUAACCGGGGGCCCAGUGCAACCCCAAGAGUCGCAAUCUCAAAGUCGGGAGGUGCCGUCGGAGCCCGCUCCAAGUGUUUCUGCAC